CCUACGGGAGGCAGCAGUGAGGAAUAUUGGUCAAUGGGCGCGAGCCUGAACCAGCCAAGUCGCGUGAAGGACGACGGUCCGAUGGAUUGUAAACUUCUUUUGUCAGGGAGCAAAAGAAGCCACGCGUGGCGUUCCGAGAGUACUCGAAGAAAAAGCAUCGGCUAACUCCGUGCCAGCAGCCGCGGUAAUACGGAGGCUGCGAGCGUUAUCCGGAUUUAUUGGGUUUAAAGGGUGCGCAGGCGGAAGAUGAAGUCAGCGGUAAAAUUGAGAGGCUCAACCCCUUCGAGCCGUUGAAACUGGUUUUCUUGAGUGAGUGAGAAGUAUGCGGAAUGCGUGGUGUAGCGGUGAAAUGCAUAGAUAUCGCGCAGAACUCCGAUUGCGAAGGCAGCAUACCGGCGCUCAACUGACGCUCAGGCACGAAAGUGUGGGUAUCGAACAGGAUUAGAUACCCUUGUAGUC
rnacentral:rRNA from 1 species